AUUGAACGCUGGCGGCAUGCCUUACACAUGCAAGUCGAACGGCAGUACGGGAGCAAUCCUGGUGGCGAGUGGCGAACGGGUGAGUAAAGUAUCGGAACGUGCCCAGUCGUGGGGGAUAACGUAGCGAAAGUUACGCUAAUACCGCAUACGAUCUAUGGAUGAAAGCGGGGGAUCGCAAGACCUCGCGCGAUUGGGGCGGCCGAUAUCAGAUUAGGUAGUUGGUGGGGUAAAGGCUCACCAAGCCGACGAUCUGUAGCUGGUCUGAGAGGACGACCAGCCACACUGGGACUGAGACACGGCCCAGACUCCUACGGGAGGCAGCAGUGGGGAAUUUUGGACAAUGGGCGAAAGCCUGAUCCAGCCAUGCCGCGUGCAGGAUGAAGGCCUUCGGGUUGUAAACUACUUUUGUACGGAACGAAAAGGUUUGGCCUAAUAAGCUGAGCUCAUGACGGUACCGUAAGAAUAAGCACCGGCUAACUACGUGCCAGCAGCCGCCGUAA
rnacentral:rRNA from 1 species